rnacentral:tRNA from 1 species
GCGUCGUUAGCUCAGCUGGAUAGAGUGUUUGGCUACGAACCAAAAGGUCGGGGGUUCGAGUCCCUUACGACGCG